CUUUGUCAGUAGCUGCUGCUUUGAAUGAAGCACUCUGCACAUGGCUGAACAUGGAGUUAUUAGAACAAAUAGUGGGAGGAAAAUAAGCUGCUUGCCUGGUAGAAGUACUGAACUGAGCCACUCUGGAACUUUCCAGAGAUUUCCUCCAGGAUGAAGAGAUUAACCUGUGGAAUUGUAGACCUUCUGGGUUGGAAGUGACCUCAGGUGAGUGUCCUCUGAGGAAGAGAUCACGAUCCGUAGAGUUCCUGACCUAACUGGCGUCUGAGCUGUUUCCUGACUCCUAAUCUAGUGCUCUGAUGUUGAGCUAGAGACCACACACAUGGCAUCCCUUUUCAGUUCAGGGGACAAAUCAGUAUUCUUGUUCCUCAGGAAAUAGUCACGUUUGUGCUGUGAAGUCAGUUUGAAAUCAAGUGGCCAAUUGUCAUGACAACAUGUGGUUUUAAAAAAAAGCUGUAAAGAAAAAGAUGAUUAUCUGUGUGGAAGCUACAGUUAGAUUUUUUAAAAGUAUAAUUGACAUACAAUAUCCUAUUAGUUUCAGGUAUAUAUUAUAGUGAUUCAGUAUUUUUAUUUAUUUAUUUUAAAGAUUUAUUUAUUUGAGAGAGAGGGAGAGCACAAGUGGGGUGAGGGGCAGAAUAAGAGAGAGAGAGAGAGGAUCCUCAAGUAGAUUCCCUGCUGAGCAUGGAGCCCAACACAGAGCUCUAUCCCAGGACCCUGAGCUCAUGACCUGAGCUGACAAUAAGAGUAGCGGCUUAACCGACUGAGCCACUCAGGCCCCCCUUGGUAUUUUUAUACAUUAUGAAAGGAUCCCCAUGAUAAGUCCAGUUACCAUCUAUCACCAUGCCAAGUUAUUACAAUAUUACUGACUACAUUCCCUAGGCUGUACAUUAUACAGUUAGAUUUCUGAGAAGGAGGCCAUUUUAGAUGUCUUCUAAAGAAGUAAGAAAAAUAUUCUGAGCAUUAAGGCUCAAAGCAGAAAAAAAAAUUCAAACAUGCUGUUGUAUUCAUCUCCCUUCAAGGUGAUCAGAGGAAGCAAAUAGAAACUGAUGCUUUAACC
rnacentral:lncRNA from 1 species